AUGGAAAAUGUGCUGUUGCUCCUGGUGUUACUCGCCAUCUCACCCUGUGCCUGGUCCCAAAUCCAGCUGUUCCAGUCCGGGCCCGGCGUGGUGAAGCCCGGAGAGCCCCUCUCACUGACCUGCACCGUGUAUGGUUACUCCAUUUCUUCUGGCUCCGACUGGGCUUUGAUCUGGCAGGCUCCUGGGAAAGGCUUAGAAUAUAUGGGCCAGGGCACCAACUACACCCCGGCAUUCCAGAGCCAAAUCACCAUCGCCACAGACACCUCCAAGAACCAGUUCUCCCUGCAUCUCCACUUGCUGACAGCUGCAGACACCGCCACCUAUUACUGUGCCCAAGACACAAUCCUGAAGCUCUGGCACUGA